rnacentral:lncRNA from 1 species
GUUUCAGAUGAGGAAACCAAGGCCCAGAGAGGAAAAGGCGCAGCAGGCAUGACACCAUUGCCAUCGGUGUUUGCUUCACCCUUGAAGAUUACGAGGUGCUGUGUGUUCCUCACCUCCCAAAACAACGUCACCAGAAACUCAUUAGGGAACCCUCCUCCUGUGCGGCAACAGUCUGGCCGGAGGCCCAGUCGUGGGGCGGUGUCUGCCGUCGGGGUCCAGAUCCACGGCACGCAGAGUCCGGGAGGCCCGGGAGGAACCAGCUGGCAAAGGACUUGGGAAAGGCGGACCUUCUUCCCGGCAGGCCUGACUCCGGUCUCCGUGGCCAAAGCAGAUCCUGGAGGAUUCUGAGUUCUUUUGAAAGACAAGAUAGCCACAUGUUCCAGAACUGUAGACUCAGACACGCCUGGUGUGUGUGUGUGUGUUCACGUGCGUACAGACAUAUGUGUAAACACACAUAUUUAUCUUGGAAGAAUGUUCUCUAUAGCAGAAGCAGCCACUCCAAGAAAAGAAAAAAAUAAAGGAAAAAAUGAAAAAAAAAAAAAAAAAAAC